UACGUAGGGUGCGAGCGUUAAUCGGAAUUACUGGGCGUAAAGCGUGCGUAGGUGGUGAGUUAAGUCUGUCGUGAAAGCCCCGGGCUCAACCUGGGAAUGGCGAUGGAUACUGGCUCGCUGGAGUGCGGUAGAGGAGAGUGGAAUUCCUGGUGUAGCGGUGGAAUGCGCAGAUAUCAGGAGGAACACCAAUAGCGAAGGCAGCUCGCUGGGACGUUACUGACGCUAAGGCGCGAAAGCGUGGGGAGCGAACAGG
rnacentral:rRNA from 1 species